GAUGAACGCUGGCGGCGUGCCUAAUACAUGCAAGUCGAGCGAACAGACGAGGAGCUUGCUCCUCUGACGUUAGCGGCGGACGGGUGAGUAACACGUGGAUAACCUACCUAUAAGACUGGGAUAACUUCGGGAAACCGGAGCUAAUACCGGAUAAUAUAUUGAACCGCAUGGUUCAAUAGUGAAAGACGGUUUUGCUGUCACUUAUAGAUGGAUCCGCGCCGCAUUAGCUAGUUGGUAAGGUAACAGGUUACCAAGGCAACGAUGCGUAGCCGACCUGAGAGGGGGAUAGGCGACACUGGAACUGAGACACGGUCAAGACUCCUGCGGGAGGCAGCAGUAGGGAACCUUCCGCAAUGGGCGAAAGCCUGACGGAGCAACGCCGCGUGAGUGAUGAAGGUCUUCGGAUCGUAAAACUCUGUUAUUAGGGAAGAACAAAUGUGUAAGUAACUAUGCACGUCUUGACGGUACCUAAUCAGAAAGCCACGGCUAACUACGUG
rnacentral:rRNA from 1 species